GGGACGCCGGCGCGGGGCAGGGUCGGUGGCGAGCGCCUGGGCCGCCGGGCGCGGCGGCAGAGAGCGGCGCGGGGCGGGGGCGGCGCCGGCAGGAGGCCGGAGCAGUGCGCACGGCUGCUCAGGCCCGGUGUUUGCAAAACACGCAUGAUUCCUCAUGCCCAUGUGAAGUUGCUCUGCUUUCACCGGAGUUCCUGCUUUCGAGGCGUUUUCUCCUUUCUCUGGCGAGACAAGCCAGGAGGCAGGGCAGCAUCUCCUUACGUCCCGCUUCGGUAGGGCCUCUCGCAGGGGAAGGCAAAAAGUAGCACUCCCCCCCCCCCCCCAGCGUUGUUUCACAGGGAAGGGGCCUUGGGCUCUGAUGUUGUUAAUGCUCUGAAAAAAAUGAGAUAGUUUGAAAAACUACAGUGUUCCCAGGGAAAGCUUGAAGGAAUUUGGGGAGAGAAGUACAGUGGAAGGAGGUACGGCAGGACCGAGUAGAGACUGAGGCAGCCAGGGUCCCACAUCCUGGGGGGCCCGAGGUGAUAGGAAGUUUCUGGCCCAUCGUGGUAGUGGGAAACAGAUAGCUCAGGUUUCUCAGUCGUUGCCUCAUGUUUGGCCUCGAAGGCUGGAGAAAUGACAAGAGAUCUGGGGAAUCAGGGAGUGGGUAAAGUAGGCUGUUUAUGGUGUUUUGAAGAACUGAAGCAAAGGUUUACAGGUGGCAGGACUUGCGUUAUGUUGGCUGAUGAGUUUUCCGUCGAGGAAAGGAGUGAGAAAGUUUGGAAUUGAGGGUCAGAAAGUUGACGGUAUUCACACUUGUGGAAUCAGGAAGGUUCAACUGAUCAGGCAAAAGGCAUAGUGCUUAGGGAUUUCAGCCAAUUGGAUAUGGAAACCUGAAGAUUUAUAAUUGAUGUUACAAUUUCAGUUGCUGGAAACAGCAACUUAAGUAACUUGGUAGCAUUCACAAAGAUAAUUUAAACUGGAGUGCUUUUAGUGUUGAGAGAUUUUCAAAAUAGAGCUGAGAGGCAUAAGGUUUUGAGUUUUAGCCAAAGUUUGAAUAGUGGUGGAACAGGAUUUCUAAAUAAAAGCCAGGAGAAAUGAACUACAUAAAAAUGUAGCUGGUAAGAAGCCAGCAGUGAGUAUUACCUUGUUGGCGAGGGCGGGGGAGAGGAGGGGUGAGGAAAGAGUAGUUAAUGCCUUCAGCACACGGUAAUUGUACAUAGCAACAAUUGAGAUGGAAAUAAUUGGCAGCAUAAGGGGGGAGUGCUUCUGCUGGGCUAAAACGAGAAACAAUUCUGUCUGUUGUUAACUGGACUGAGAGAUCUGAGUCACACAAGUAUACAUCAUGUUCCUGCUGUAACUGAUGCACUCCAACAUGAGAAGAGAGGGGAAAAGAAACAAACAAAUUCCUUUUCACCUUGAAAUAAGCCUUGCCCUCAGCAGACAGAAACAUCAGGUUGGGAAGAUCAUUCUCUCCUCUCAAAGCUGAAAAGUAGAAGCCUCAAUGUUCAGGUUUAGCAGGAAAUUCUACUCUCAGACACGUACAGUUCUACAAAUCUCAUUAAACUCCUGUCUUCCAUCAUCAAACCAAGCAGGUGUCAAUUCCAGCAAGAGGAUACAGUGAGCACAUAUUUCACACUGCAUCAUGCAUUGUCAUUGGUGCAGCCUGUUUCAAGAAGAGAGCUCUGAAAUGGAGAAACACUGCAGCAACUUUCUCUUCUCUUCCAGAAUUAGUCCUUCCAUAUUAACAUGUUGUCUCAGAGCAAAAAAUACUAUACUGCUGAGGAAGUUGCAAGUAAUACAGAGGAAAAGCUUUUCUCAUACAGAGCCACAUAGUUUGGAAUACAGCUUGAUCAUACUGCCUACUUAAUGGAGGAAAUGUCACUGGCACACUUGGGAAAGAUUCUGAGGAGAAAAAGUGGAUAAAGAUGGAAAAGGAAGGAAAAAAAAAGAUGCUGAAGGUAGUAUCUUAUAACUGAAAUAUGCUGGUAGCAAGCAUGGUAGACUUGGGCUCCUCCACACACAUAACAACAACAAACAAAAAAUUAUGUGCUAUAUUGAGUGUUUUCAGGUGCCUGACUUUUAAAAGAGAUGCACUUUUGUCAAGAAUGGUGACCACGAAGUACCAAGAAGCAGCAAAAGCAGAGCUGUUCCCCAAUGGAAGGCAAAUCAGGAGCUGAGGAUGGCCACAACACAACCUGGUGGUGUCCUCACCGGCAGGGCACAGCCUCACUGCAGCCAGAUGAGCAGGCCUUAUCAGCAGUCCAGCAAUCAUCAGGUAAAAGCAAGGCAACAAGCCAGGUCCAAGGUCAAGCCAAAAAAACAGUCCAGGAAUAGGGCAGAGAGCAGUAGGUACACCUACAGCAUAGAUCACACAAAGGCUGAAGACACAGGCCUGAGGUUAAAUGGAGCUCCAGGGCCAUGGACAGGAGGUGUGGAUAGAGGCCCCAGGUGAGGCUGGUCAGGGCCGCUAAGGCCUAUUAGUGCACGUGACCCUGACAUUGAGCUUUUCAAAGUAUCAAGCCCAAACAAAGCUCUUGCAAGACAUAACUUGGCAGGCCGACCUCUGCAGUGAAUGCGUUAGUGCAGAGUAUAAUCACCAGAUUAAGAUUAUACUGAUUAGUCAUAUUUAAGGUACACCAAAUUAAAAGUUCUCUGAUCAUUUCAGAUGAUCUUGAACAGGCAUUAGUCUCUUGUAGAAAUGACAUGGCUGACUCUUGUGAUGAAAAAUAGGUUUGUGAUCUUUUUAAUUUGUUUUAUUUGGCAUAAUGCAUACAUCUCAAUGUGCAAGAGCAGGACAAGUAAGCAGAACACUGUUUUCGUAAGCCUUGACUAAAUGCCAAAGGCCAGCAUUUUCCUUUUAUUGCACAUUGCUAAUAGGGGAAGAUCUCGUUAAAAUGUUCUCAUUCUAACAUGCAGCCACAGGACUGAGCAUUUUAUACUCCAGAAGGUCUGAAUAAAUGUCUGCCUCCACCCUUUAAAUCACAUGGAAAAUUGUAUCCUCGUGAUUCCUGACAGUUCUAAUUUUCUACUAACCCAAAGAGAAAAAAAUAAAUAAUCAAACAAUGGGCAAUAAAUAACUUUAAAUCUUGAUAGAGAUUGAAUGCCUUUAACUGUUUUACUUUACCUCUUUCUGUUUUUUCAUAGAAUUACACAAAGCCUAUGUAAGAAAGAGGAAAGUUUUCUUGAUUUUUUUUUUUCUGAAGAGUGUGAAAGUUACUAUGCUAAAGUCUGUAACUUUUAAUCAUGUGUAACAGGAGCUUGAAAUCAAUUGGACUACAUGUAUGUGUAAGGGUAUGCCUACAGGGUGUUCCUUAUUGUGUGUAUGUUGAGCCUUUGGAUGACAAGAGAAGUGUUAAAUGGACUUUGAGACAGCACUAUAAAUGUAUUCUGUCUACAUUAUACUAUGUAACAGCAACGACAGAAUUCAAUCCUGGAACAAUUAGUAUCUCAGUAUAUUAAAGAAAAAUCAUUAUUUAUUUUAUAUAGUAUGUUUGCUUUUGUAUGACAAUUCCCUGCUGCUGAAGCAGGCAGAAAUGCAAGAAUAAUUCAAACUCUUUUUUCCUCUCCCAAGGAACAAGCUAUUUUAUAAGUAAAUAGCUGUGCUUUUUUUUUACAGUUUUGGGGAUAUAACCAAUUAGAAUCUGUGUACUCCUGUGAAAAUGUUUCACAGUGCAUAGGCAAUAAUGUGUUAAUGUUAGAGAAUGCCCACUAAUUAUGUCUAUUGAUUUUCCUUCUUUAAAAGUCAGUAUCUAGCUUAUUUUUAGGUGUUUCAGUCCUUCCAUAACACUUUUCCUAUUGAAAAAAAUUGAUCCAAAAGCGUACUCUAGAUCACAGGUAAAUCUUUCUGUGGCAGGUACACAUGCAUCUUUAGACUGUACCAGCAUCAAUUUAGCUGUGAUCAAAGAAAGAAGUUUACACUUAAAUCUCACCUUGGCUGGUAAGUAAUUGGUAAUUCCAGAGCCCUGCUGAUCUAAAAGUUGUGUUCUCUAGAAGA